UGGGGAAUAUUGGACAAUGGGCGCAAGCCUGAUCCAGCCAUGCCGCGUGAGUGACGAAGGUCUUCGGAUUGUAAAGCUCUUUUGGCGGGGACGAUAAUGACGGUACCCGCAGAAUAAGCCCCGGCUAACUUCGUGCCAGCAGCCGCGGUAAUACGAAGGGGGCUAGCGUUGUUCGGAAUUACUGGGCGUAAAGCGCACGUAGGCGGACUGAUAAGUCAGGGGUGAAAUCCCGGGGCUCAACCUCGGAACUGCCUUUGAUACUGUUAGUCUCGAGUCCGGAAGAGGUGAGUGGAAUUCCUAGUGUAGAGGUGAAAUUCGUAGAUAUUAGGAAGAACACCAGUGGCGAAGGCGGCUCACUGGUCCGGUACUGACGCUGAGGUGCGAAAGCGUGGGGAGCAAACAGGAUUAGAUACCCCUGUAGUCCCUGAGCGGGCUGGCAAGGCGCAU
rnacentral:rRNA from 1 species